rnacentral:rRNA from 1 species
CUAAGAUAAGAUCUCUCAUCCUUUAUGGAGUAAGGGCCCAGAAAGACGAUCUGGUUGAUAGGCCGGAGGUGGAAGUGCAGUAAUGUAUGCAGCUGACCGGUACUAAUAGCCCGAGGGCUUGACCUA